rnacentral:rRNA from 2 species
CUGAUGGAGCACGCCGCGUGAGUGAAGAAGGGUUUCGGCUCGUAAAACUCUGUUGUUAAAGAAGAACAUAUCUGAGAGUAACUGUUCAGGUAUUGACGGUAUUUAACCAGAAAGCCACGGCUAACUACGUGCCAGCAGCCGCGGUAAUACGUAGGUGGCAAGCGUUGUCCGGAUUUAUUGGGCGUAAAGCGAGCGCAGGCGGUUUUUUAAGUCUGAUGUGAAAGCCUUCGGCUCAACCGAAGAAGUGCAUCGGAAACUGGGAAACUUGAGUGCAGAAGAGGACAGUGGAACUCCAUGUGUAGCGGUGAAAUGCGUAGAUAUAUGGAAGAACACCAGUGGCGAAGGCGGCUGUCUGGUCUGUAACUGACGCUGAGGCUCGAAAGUAUGGGUAGCAAACAGGAUUAGAUACCCUGGUAGUCCAUACCGUAAACGAUGAAUGCUAAGUGUUGGAGGGUUUCCGCCCUUCAGUGCUGCAGCUAACGCAUUAAGCAUUCCGCCUGGGGAGUACGGCCGCAAGGCUGAAACUCAAAGGAAUUGACGGGGGCCCGCACAAGCGGUGGAGCAUGUGGUUUAAUUCGAAGCUACGCGAAGAACCUUACCAGGUCUUGACAUACUAUGCAAAUCUAAGAGAUUAGACGUUCCCUUCGGGGACAUGGAUACAGGUGGUGCAUGGUUGUCGUCAGCUCGUGUCGUGAGAUGUUGGGGUUAAGUCCCGCAACGAGCGCAACCCUUUAUUAUCAG